rnacentral:rRNA from 2 species
GGUGCCUAUAUCGGUGGUGUCCACCUCUUCCCAUUCCGAACAGAGAAGUUAAGCCCACCAGAGCCGAUGGUACUGCGGUAACACGUGGGAGAGUAGGUCGGUGCC